AAUGAACGCUGGCGGCAGGCCUAACACAUGCAAGUCGAACGGGUCCUUCGGGACUAGUGGCGGACGGGUGAGUAACGCGUGGGAACAUGCCCUUUGGUACGGAAUAGCCUCGGGAAACUGGGAGUAAUACCGUAUGUGGUCGAGAGACGAAAGAUUUAUCGCCAAAGGAUUGGCCCGCGUUGGAUUAGGUAGUUGGUGGGGUAAUGGCCUACCAAGCCGACGAUCCAUAGCUGGUUUGAGAGGAUGAUCAGCCACACUGGGACUGAGACACGGCCCAGACUCCUACGGGAGGCAGAAGUGGGGAAUCUUAGACAAUGGGGGAAACCCUUAUCUAGCCAUGCCGCGUGAUCGAUGAAGGCCUUAGGGUUGUAAAGAUCUUUCAGGUGGGAAGAUAAUGACUGUACCACCAGAAGAAGCCCCGGCUAACUCCGUGCCAGCCGCCGCCGUAA
rnacentral:rRNA from 1 species